CUGAUGGGCUUUAAAGCUUGAUAUUUUGAGGGCCAGUCUCUCAGGCACCAGUCUUAAAAGUUGGGGCAUCUCAUGUGGGGUAUAAUCUCUUUGCUCCUCAGAGGGAAGCUCCAGGUUUUGAGUUCCUUCUGGAUUAAGAUUGCCUGCUGAGGGUGCUGUUUAUGGCCAGAUGGUGUUUCAGCCUUUCUUAACUGCUUUGAUGUAGUUUCCCUCUCAUUUGCCUGAUGUCCAGGGGUCAUUCCACCAGUUUUUAGUUUUUUUCCAGAGGAAAUUAUUCCAUUCUGUAUACUUGGUGUGUCCGUGGGAGGAGGCGAGUUUGGGAUCUCCCCCCAACAUCGGCACCUUAAAAUGGAACCUCUAAAAACUCUUCAAGGUCAAUGGAAACAGAGCAUCUGAAUCAACAAACUUAGAAGAACCAAGCAGAGAUACCUGUACGGAGAGCUCAGAAGGCAUUUCCAUAGGCUCAUUGUCAAGUGAAUGUUAAAGCCCCCAUUCACUGGGAAGCAAAGAAUCCUUACAUUUAUUUGUCAUAUAUCCUUGGAUUCCACUUGGCUGUGACUUUCUCAGAGCGCUGGUCAGUUCCGUUAUCUUGCUUUUGAUUCAUGGAAAUUCUGAACAGUGAUGUGAGAAUGACUACGAUUUGAAGUAUGUGUUAAAUACAGCAAUACGACAUCACAAGGAGCUACAUGGAGAUCGGACUUAAGUAGACAUUUGAGGAAUACAUAAGUUAAAUAUAGAGGAAGGGCAACUCCUCAGUCAGGAGCAUGGCAAGAGCAAAGGUGGAGGUGGAGUUCCCGUAUCUCUUUUAAGGACAAGUGGACAAGAGACUGGAUAUAGUUCCCUGUGCUAUAUGGAUUGUUUUGGGGCUCCUGCAUAAGAGAAAUAUUAAAAAGGUGAAAUGGUAGCACUGCAAUAUGAGGGGAGAAAUAGAGAAAAAAUGAUU